GUAGCUUUACGUGAGGUGUCGGCUUCCCUUUACACCGACUAAACGAGCAUAUGCCUCAUCUCACUGCAAUCAGGACGGAGAUGGAAAUACACAUGCCUGGCCCUAAUUUAUUUAUGAAUGUCCCCACCCUGGUGACUAAACAGAUGCUUCGCUCAGGUACACAACAAAAUGUGCGUGUCUUCGUGCAUGCUCGUGCCUCAGUACAAAUUAGGAAUUCGGUUUUUGCUCAUACGUUGCGUGAUUAUACCCUGCCGUUUGUGCUUGCCUGAGAAUAUCUGAGCAUAAAUAUGUGUAUCUGCAUUCUUGUGUGUGUGUGUUUGUGUACCACUAAUGUUUUCAUCUCACAGGAUUUCCUCCUUCAAAGAGAUGGGAGAGGACGGUGGUGCUCCCUUUUCCACUCAAAACAGCCCCGAGGCUGUAACCCAGACAUGCUGAGGGAUGAAUGCCAAAGACGGGCUGAGAAAUUGAAAAGUAUUUACAGAUUGAACUCAUACACUGUUGGUUUUGGCUUUCCUCGAGGAAUCUGUUGGAAGGUAGGAAAAUAUUGGACAUCAUUAGCUAAUUCUUCAAACAAUUUAUUGAAUAUGAAAAUGUAUUGAUGUAUCAUGCAUUUGGUCAGAUUUCCCUGGCCUUGACUCGUCACUGUAUGUUAUUAGUUUAAUCUUUUGUCUUCUUUCAGCUGUUAGCAGCUUCUUCUCCUUUAUUGGUGUCCAUCAACCCCACACUUCAGAUUUGGUCUACAUGCUGAUAUCUCUAAGUAAACUCAAUGAUGUCACAUUACCAUGGUGAACACACUGCAUACACAAAACUUGUCAUUAUAUAGUGCAGAACUAGGACACAGCCAUCGCAAUGUAUUCUCACUCGAAACUCAACAACGCAGCAGCUCGAUCAGUGGUGUUAUUACACUCUACCUACGCCUCAAGUGUUGGUUAAUUCACAUGAAGGGCUCCAUGGUCAAGGCAGUAACAAUUCCUAGCACGUAACAUCCAGUAAAACUUUCAAAAACUAUUAUGAUUUUGACUUUUGGACUGUUAUUAACAUUGUCAAAUGGUCCUGAUUUGGUUAGGUUUAGGCACAAAAGUUAAGGAGAAGAUCAUAUUUUGGGUUAAAAUAACUAUACUCACUCUCAUAAUAUAAGUCACAUAAGUUCUGUAUCUAACAUCAUGUUACAUCAGUGAUGUAAUUAUGUCACCUGUAUUAUGUCGGUGAUGUAUUUGUGGGCUUUACAGCACCACAACGUACUUACAUACACAUAUCGAAAUGAUUAAACUAUGUACCACAGUGGAAGCACAUAAAAUAAAUGAGAAAUUAUGAAAUAAACACAAUCUGAGCAAGCAACAUAACACCAGGCAGGCACUUCCAGGGCUGGAAGGCUACAGCAGGGAUGGUGUAACAGAGGUGUGGAUGAAUCUGGACUGGCGUUAUAUGCAUUACAGGAUGAGGGGGGGGGGGGGGGGGGGGGAGAUGAGCAGGUGGGUUUUGGGAUCAAGUGAUUGGGAAGGCUGAAGAAUACCGCUGGGCAGGCGGGAUGGCAGGAUCACAAAUGACGGUGGGGUUAAUGAACGGGAAAAUGGCAGGCAUGGAGAGGAUCAACUAGAAACAGGAAGAUACCAUGACAGCUUUAAUGCCAAUGACUCUGACUGCGCACGGCAACCUGUCUCCUCUAUAAUGCACCGCAGUUAAAACCGCUAUUCUAUUGUCCUUUUCACUGAGAUGAAGCCAUAGUAAGAAAUAGGAUUUUCCAGGCCUGACAACAUGAUCUAAAGCGCAGCAUUAUUUCAAAUGUAACAUUGAAUUGUGGAGGCUAAAUCAUCUGCUUGGAACUGUUAUAGGACUGUUAAAUGUAAGGCAUGGACAAACAGGAUACUACCAAACACCAGCCCUGUCAGAUUAGUUUUAUUUUACCAGAGUUACUCAUUCCACUUCAGACAGAGUUACAUUUUCAUCUGAAUAAGAAUUAUUAUGGUGUCUGCUUCCUAAAUGUGUUGUCUUUGGUUGGGACUAUCGUCUGUCUCUCUGUGACGUAUUGGUAGCAUCUCUGUCCUGGUUAGGAUAUGAAAACAAACAUGAGUCCAGCGUGGGGGCGGGCAGGUGGCAGAAACACCCCAUUCACAUCAGUCCAGUGCUCUCUGAAGCGCUCCCCUUAAUUACAUCCACAUCCACCAGGUGGUGUGGAAUCUCCACAGGAUAUACACUGAGGAUCUCCUGCUUGCCAAGAGAGAGUGGUUCAGAGAAAAAGGAAGAUGCUUUCAAAUGCUGCAGCGGUGGAUUGUUUGAUUUUGACUUUGAUUUGUCUGAGUGAGAUGACUGAACGCAACGCAAUCUGUGUCUCAUAGGAUGUACAGUACACACGUUCAGGGGUAUGCUUUCAACAGAAUAGAUACCCCACACUACUACUGCUACCAAAAUGCUCAUUUAUUAAAGGAAUCGCGUUUGAGCCAUGCAGUGCUGUGCUAUGCCAUUCAUACCGUAGCAGGCGAGGAUCUGCCCAGCUGGCCGCUGAGCUGCUUCACAGGAGGACCUGAGUGCUGCGAUGAAGGACUCUUCAGCAGCGAGUGAGAGAUUGUUACUCAAUUUCUCUCGACGCUCUCUUGUUUCCCAGCUGGACAGGGGCUGAUCUCGCACAUGCCUCUUCAGCAGCGGUGGCAGUGUGAUACCUGCCAUGUUUGGCCAGGUAACAACGAAGCCAUUAUAAUUUGGUCGGAGCAAUAAAAACAAAUUGACUAUCAUUUUUUGCGUGUGUACAAAUAAUCUGCUGUGUAAUAAUUUAUGGAGGGAACUUUAGAAGGUGUCCAGAUCGCCAUGUGUAUGAGAUUAAAACCACUGACAGGUGAAAUGAAUAACAUUGAUCAUAUUUUUACAGGUUAUCGUUCUGCUGGGAAACCUUGGGUCUUCAGAAGCUCACAUGCUCCAUGCACCCAAACCCCAUCGCAGGACAAUGCCCUGAAACACCACAAAAACUGCCUGGUCUGCAAAUGGUGUUUGGAUAGGUGGUGCAUAUCAAGUGGCAGUUGCAUAAAUGACAGUACCCCAAAAAACAUUGCAUUGUAACCAGCGCAGGAAUUUCAUGAGGGCCACGAGGGCCAAAAUAUCUGCCUUAAGGCCACAGUGGCCUUGAUGCCCCACCUGCACUCCCCUAGUUGAUUUUGCAGUUUUCUCCUCUGCCUCUUCCCUGUCAACACGGCUUUGAACACCGGCAUCUUUUGCGGAAAAGAAAUGCUCUUUUUAUGACAUAUUGGCAACAUCAAAUGAGACGAUGCGUACAUCACCAGUGGGAGGUUCGAUUGGAGCCUGGCAUGAACCGCUCGGGCGGGCUACAACGACAGUUUGACAGCAAUCUAUCACUGGCUAACCAGGAGACUUCAUCAAACGCACCCCUGACGUCCGCGUGGCCGAGAUGUACAGUCUGAGGAGGAGGAAAAAGUCGCCGGGUCUGAGUUAAGACAGUAGCCCUUUUUACACAGCGUCUCUGCAUUCUCCGCCGAUGGUGAUUCACACAGAGCAAAGCAUCUCCGCUGUACCACUGUGUAAUUCACACAGAAAGCCGGCGCUGCGGCUCCUAAAGAGGCGUGAUGGUACACAUCAUGAUGACGAUGUCGGUGUUUCCCAGGUGUUUCCUGAUGUCUCGGUCGGGAGGACUGACGGUGGCCGUGAUUUACUUCCACCACAGUGAAGGACUUGUGCAGUUAUCAGACUGUCAGACCGACAUGCCCCCGCUCCGCGCCUCCGGCUUAUCCAUUCACACUGGGACGGUUCACAUGCAGAAACUCUCUCUGACUCUCCAUCCCCAUCUUCAAACGAUAGUGACUGAUUAAUCACAUAACCUGGCAUAAAUGAUUGUAACUUUGUAGUAUAUGUUAAAAAUAAAUAUAAAAUAAAAAUAAAUGCAUUCAUGAAUUAAUAAAUAGUUGAAAGUUGAAC
ensembl:lncRNA